rnacentral:rRNA from 1 species
AUUGAACGCUGGCGGAAUGCUUUACACAUGCAAGUCGAACGGUAGAGGGGGCAACCCCUUGAGAGUGGCGAACGGGUGAGUAAUAUAUCGGAACGUGCCCAGUCGUGGGGAUAACGUAGAGAAAUUUACGCUAAUACCGCAUACGAUCUAAGGAUGAAAGCGGGGGAUUCGCAAGAACCUCGCGCGAUUGGAGCGGCUGAUAUCAGAUUAGGUUGUUGGUGAGGUAAAAGCUCACCAAGCCGACGAUCUGGUAGCUGGUUUGAGAGGACGACCAGCCACACUGGGACUGAGACACGGCCCAGACUCCUACGGGAGGCAGCAGUGGGGAAUUUUGGACAAUGGGCGCAAGCCUGAUCCAGCAAUGCCGCGUGCAGGAUGAAGGCCUC